AGCCCUAAAAGGGAACCAAGGAGUUCUAUGAUUUUCAUUAUUUCAUCGAGAGAUAAAAGGGAAAUGUGUCUUCCAUAAGACAAGCCUGUCAAAGAGGGAACACAUGAGAAAUAUUAGUAGAACUGUUCCUGGGAACGAGAAAAAUGUUCACAUUAUAGAGAUAGCAGAGGAAGCUUUGGCUAAAUCUCUCUAAGCCCUGACUUUCCUAUUAGUUGCAGAUGACCCAAAGCUGGGAGACAGAAAAGUGCACAGAAGUGAAAUUUGAAAAGAGCUUGGAAGUUCUGUACUAUUUCCAGAAUGCACCACCUCUUUACUUGGGCCUCGAUUACGAAAUGUAUGCUGUAAAUACUGAACAUCCUAGGAAAUGACGUCAGACUCUUCUGCAAUCCCUUCCGCACACCACUCUCGGGGAUCCCACGAAGAAUCGAGACUUGCCAGCUGGAGGCGCAGUGCUGGCUGGGGCAGGAGCAGACCCAGGCCUGAUAAAGGACAGGAAUCCUGAGGGCGUGGAUACGAAGAGCAGGCCCGAGUUCCAUCAAGCCUUCAGAAACUGCUGAGGAGGAUGGAGACAGGCGAGUAUUCAAAGGUCUGGCAAAGACCCAGUGCCAGGAGUCACCUGAACUAAGGAGCAUGUGGGCAAGACAAUGAGAAGAACAGGCACCCAGCACCAGUCACAGAGUCCUGCCCUCCGGGGGAAAGCCGGCCCUUUGAGCUUUAGCAGCCUUUGCUUGCCUCACCCAAUUCCAUAGGCAAGUGGCCUGGGGGUGCUCGGAGGGAGGCUGCUGACACAGAGAAAGGACAAGGACCAAUUCUUCUAGGGUAGUUGGAAAAGAAUUGGUGGAGAAGAAGGCAAAAUAGGAUGGGAAGCUGAAUGGUUAUGGGUGAAAAGGAAGAACCUGAGAAGUCCCUAAUUCACAAGCGAGGGGUGAAAGAUAGGCUAGGAGGUAAUCUGCUGCCCACCGCCUCUCCCCUCUGAGGAGCGCUUGUCCUGGACCAUUGGCACCUGGGCUCGUGGGAGUUCUGGGUAAAGCUAGAGAGGGGUGGAGCUCAGAGAAGGGCUUGAGAGAUGUUGAUUUUCUUUCUUUCUUUUUUGUGAGGAAGAUUGUCCCUGGGCUAAUAUCUGUGCUGAUCUUCCUCUGUUUUGUAUGUGGGACACCGUCACAGCAUGGCUUGCCAAGCAGUGCUAGGUCCACGCCCAGGAUCCGAACUGGCGAACCCCAGGCUGCUGAGGUGGAGUGCAUGAACUUAACCACUAUGCUGCCAGGCUGGCCCCUGAGAUAUGCUGGUUUUCAGUGGAAUGGCCAAAAUCCUACUAGUGGGCAGAAAAGAACAAAUACAGCAAAGAGGAGAUAAAGAAAGAGAAAAGGUGGAUGUCUCAGGUCAGAUGGGGAGAAGACAUUUAGGGGAGCAGCGCUGUGCCUGCGGGCCUGUCCCUCCAUUUGUAGAGCUGAGCAAGAGGACACGUGGAGAGUCACAUAGUCUGUUUCUCUGCAUCUAAAAAUUAUCAGUUAAGCUAGCAGUAUCAGUCAGGGUUCCACCAGCGCAACAGAACCAGAUGGAGACCUAUAUUAAGAGACCUAUUGCAAAAACUGGUUUACGCAGUUGUGGGAGCUGGCUAGGCAAUCCGAGAUCUGUAGGGCAGGCUUUGGAGGGAUGGCUGACCUCUCGGGCACAGCCUGAAGCUGCACGCCACAGGCUGAAUUUCUGCUUCCUCGGGAACCUCAGCUCUGCUCUGAAGGCCUUUCAAGGAUAGAAUCAGCCCACCCAGAUUACCUAGGGUAAUCACCUUUACUCAAAAUCAUCUGAUAAGAGAUGCAGAUCCUAGCUACCAGAUGCCUACAGGACAAGACCCAGGCUAGUAAUUGUUUGAAUAACUGUGGACAAUAGCCUAGCCAAGCUAACACAUAAAACUGACCAUCACACUGACAAACUGUUAAAGAAAAUAUGUAACAACUGCCUGCCUUGACAAAUACACCAUUAUGAUGACAAUAUAAAAAAGUAUUAAGCAAUGGUUUCUAAAAAAGUGAUAAAUCAGCAAAAUAUCAAAGAUGGCUUAAAGUAAUUACUGCUCAUUUCUGGGUGUUCUCUUGACCAAUUAGUGAAGUUUGGAUGGUUAAUAAAAUAAAGAUAUAUGUAAUUUGUAAAUUAGAUACUUAUUUCAUAAAAUUUAUGUUUGUGCCUUAAUUUCAACAAAAUUACUCAUUUCAUUGUUAGGAUCCAGAUUUUGUUCUGCUGAUGUAAUGUCCAUUUAGAUAAUCUUUCUCGAGUCAUCAUAGUUUCUAGGUAGUUUUUUGUUUUUUGUUUUUUUGGUGAGGAAGAUUGGCCCUGAGCUAA